rnacentral:tRNA from 2 species
ACUUCUUUAGUAUAAUGUAUAAUUGACUUCCAAUCAAUAGGACCGUAAUAAACGGAAGAAGUA